rnacentral:rRNA from 1 species
AGAGUUUGAUCCUGGCUCAGGACGAACGCUGGCGGCGUGCUUAACACAUGCAAGUCGAACGGAAAGGCCCUUCGGGGUACUCGAGUGGCGAACGGGUGAGUAACACGUGGGUGAUCUGCCCUGCACUUUGGGAUAAGCCUGGGAAACUGGGUCUAAUACCGAAUAUGACCAUGCACUUCCUGGUGUGUGGUGGAAAGCUUUUGCGGUGUGGGAUGGGCCCGCGGCCUAUCAGCUUGUUGGUGGGGUAAUGGCCUACCAAGGCGACGACGGGUAGCCGGCCUGAGAGGGUGACCGGCCACACUGGGACUGAGAUACGGCCCAGACUCCUACGGGAGGCAGCAGUGGGGAAUAUUGCACAAUGGGCGCAAGCCUGAUGCAGCGACGCCGCGUGAGGGAUGACGGCCUUCGGGUUGUAAACCUCUUUCAGCACAGACGAAGCGCAAGUGACGGUAUGUGCAGAAGAGGGACCGGCCAACUACGUGCCAGCAGCCGCGGUAAUACGUAGGGUCCGAGCGUUGUCCGGAAUUACUGGGCGUAAAGAGCUCGUAGGUGGUUUGUCGCGUUGUUCGUGAAAACUCACAGCUUAACUGUGGGCGUGCGGGCGAUACGGGCAGACUUGAGUACUGCAGGGGAGACUGGAAUUCCUGGUGUAGCGGUGGAAUGCGCAGAUAUCAGGAGGAACACCGGUGGCGAAGGCGGGUCUCUGGGCAGUAACUGACGCUGAGGAGCGAAAGCGUGGGGAGCGAACAGGAUUAGAUACCCUGGUAGUCC